rnacentral:rRNA from 1 species
AAUGGAGGCAACUCUGAACCAGCCAUGCCGCGUGCAGGAAGACUGCCUAUGGGUUGUAAACUGCUUUUAUACAGGAAGAACACCUCUACGUGUAGAGGCUUGACGGUACUGUAAGAAUAAGGAUCGGCUAACUCCGUGCCAGCAGCCGCGGUAAUACGGAGGAUCCAAGCGUUAUCCGGAAUCAUUGGGUUUAAAGGGUCCGUAGGUGGAUUAGUAAGUCAGAGGUGAAAUCCUGCAGCUCAACUGUAGAACUGCCUUUGAUACUGCUAGUCUUGAGUCAUUAUGAAGUGGUUAGAAUGUGUAGUGUAGCGGUGAAAUGCAUAGAUAUUACACAGAAUACCGAUUGCGAAGGCAGAUCACUAAUAAUGUACUGACACUGAUGGACGAAAGCGUGGGGAGCGAACAGGAUU